rnacentral:tRNA from 1 species
CCGGCAGUAGCUCAGGGGUAAGAGCGGUCGUCUUAUAAGCGACAGGUCGGUGGUUCGAUUCCACCCUGCCGGACCA